rnacentral:rRNA from 1 species
CAAUAGCGUAUAUUUAAGUUGUUGCAGUUAAGAAGCUCGUAGUUGGAUUUCGGUUAAGAGCGACCGGUCCGCCGUUUGGUGUGCACUGGUUGGUUUUAACUUCCUGUAGAGGACGUGCUCUGGGUUUAACGACCUGGACUCGGAGUCUACGUGGUUACUUUGAAAAAAUUAGAGUGUUCAAAGCGGGCUUACGCUUGAAUAUUUCAGCAUGGAAUAACACUAUAGGACUCCUGUCCUAUUUCGUUGGUCUCGGGACGGGAGUAAUGAUUAAGAGGAACAGUUGGGGGCAUUCGUAUUUCAUUGUCAGAGGUGAAAUUCUUGGAUUUAUGAAAGACGAACUUCUGCGAAAGCAUUUGCCAAGGAUGUUUUCAUUAA